UCCUACGGGAGGCAGCAGUGGGGAAUAUUGCACAAUGGGGGAAACCCUGAUGCAGCCAUGCCGCGUGUGUGAAGAAGGCCUUCGGGUUGUAAAGCACUUUCAGUAGGGAGGAAGGUAGUGUAGUUAACACCUGCAUUAUUUGACGUUACCUACAGAAGAAGCACCGGCUAACUCCGUGCCAGCAGCCGCGGUAAUACGGAGGGUGCGAGCGUUAAUCGGAAUUACUGGGCGUAAAGCGCAUGCAGGCGGCCUGUUAAGUCAGAUGUGAAAGCCCGGGGCUUAACCUCGGAAUUGCAUUUGAAACUGGCAGGCUAGAGUCUUGUAGAGGGGGUAGAAUUUCAGGUGUAGCGGUGAAAUGCGUAGAGAUCUGAAGGAAUACCAGUGGCGAAGGCGGCCCCCUGGACAAAGACUGACGCUCAGAUGCGAAAGCGUGGGGAGCAAACAGGAUUAGAUACCCUGGUAG
rnacentral:rRNA from 1 species